UACGUAGGUGGCGAGCGUUGUCCGGAUUUAUUGGGCUUAAAGGGUGCGUAGGCGGGCGAUUAAGUCAGGGGUGAAAGACGGUGGCUCAACCAUCGCAGUGCCUUUGAUACUGGUCGCCUUGAGUGCGGGCGAGGUCUGCGGAAUGGACUGUGUAGCGGUGAAAUGCGCAGAUACAGUCCGGAACACCGAUUGCGAAGGCAGCAGACUGGGGCGCAACUGACGCUGAGGCACGAAAGUGCGGGGAUCAAACAGG
rnacentral:rRNA from 1 species